rnacentral:misc_RNA from 1 species
UCUCCGUAGGUGAACCUGCGGAGGGAUCAUUACAGAGUUCAUGCCCUACCGGGUAGAUCUCCCACCCUAUGUUAUUAUUACUUUGUUGCUUUGGCGGGCCGUUAGGCUCCGGCCCGACUACCGGCCCCGGCUGGUAACCGCCCGCCAGAGGACCCAAAACGCUGAAUAUUAGUGUCGUCUGAGUACUAUAUAAUAGUUAAAACUUUCAACAACGGAUCUCUUGGUUCGG